UUUCAUUGUUCUUAUACGCUACAAAAUACGCUUUGCUCCUCAACCAUCAGCUAUUUUCUCUGAUCGAAAUCUUCCCCGAUCCAUAGUAAUCGAUCUCUGAUUCUAAAUGAAAUACACUCUCUCAGAUCUUCCUCAAUCAAUCUACGCCGAUGCUCUCUUUUCCUCUCCGGCAUUGAUCGAUAUGCUUUACGGCUUACGGUUUUGCUUCACUUUUGUGGUGGAAUGAUGGUUGUAGAGGUUCAAGUAAUGGAUUAUUACUGGCAUCGUAGUCAUCUACAGUACAGUAUUGACGGUGGAAACAGGUAGUGGUCAUCUCCCCAGAGGUUAGCUGUCCCUGUUUUGCCACUCAAGGACUCCAGUUAAAAGUCCAAAGUCUAGAGAAGUCUUAGGAGUUUAUUCUGUAAAUGUCUGUAUGUAUGUGUUGCUCAUAUUAGGGACUAGUAAAGUAUAUUGGGACCGUUGAACUCUGUAUGUGUUAAUAUGAUGUAAUUAUGUUGUUGUUGAUCCCUGGUAUUCUGAGGUUAUUUUUUAAAAGUUUCAUUAGUUUGGUGAAUGUUAUAUAUGUAUUCCAGGGAUCUAAGCAGGUUAAAGAUGUUAGUUAGGCAGUAAGUGUCACAAAAGGAUUGGUAACUACUGUCGUCACAUUCACUUCUGGAAUAAAAAGGGUAAUCUGGGAGGGGAUAUGACAAAAUGUUCAAUCGAAAAUUGAUAUCUCAACCUAACAAGUUG